ACGCUCGACACCUACGGGAAGCAGCAGUGGGGAAUAUUGCACAAUGGGGGAAACCCUGAUGCAGCAACGCCGCGUGAAGGAAGACGGUUUUCGGAUUGUAAACUUCUGUUCUUAGUGAAGAUAGUGACGGUAGCUAAGGAGCAAGCCACGGCUAACUACGUACCAGCAGCCGCGGUAAUCUGAGCGGGCUGGCAAGGC
rnacentral:rRNA from 1 species